GAUCAUGGCUCAGGAUGAACGCUGGCGGCGUGCCUAAUACAUGCAAGUAGAACGCUGAAGCUUGGUGCUUGCACCGAGCGGAUGAGUUGCGAACGGGUGAGUAACGCGUAGGUAACCUGCCUCUUAGCGGGGGAUAACUAUUGGAAACAAUAGCUAAUACCGCAUAAAAGUCGAUAUCGCAUGAUAUUGAUUUGAAAGGUGCAAUUGCAUCACUAAGAGAUGG
rnacentral:rRNA from 1 species